rnacentral:rRNA from 1 species
GUAGGCAUAAGUAACGAUAAGGCAGGUGAGAACCCUGCCCACCGAUAGACUAAGGGUUCCGCGGCAAUGUCAAUCAGCCGCGGGUAAGUCGGGAUCUAAGUCGAAGCCGAAGGGCGUAGAUGAUGACCAACGGGUUAAUAUUCCCGUACUACCCUGAUGAGCGAUGGAGGGACGGAGUAGUGAAAGUUCCGCGUACAGACGAAAUAGUACGUUUAAGGGCGUAGGUAUAGGUUGUGCAGGUAAAUCCGCACGAUUUGCUGAAACCUGAAAGUAGCAGGAGGCUUCGGCCGAAUGCAGUGGACGUAAUCAGACUUCCGAGAAAAACUUCUAAGCAUAUUGUCAGGGUACCCGUACCGCAAACCGACACAGGUAGUCAAGGAGAGAAUCCUAAGGUGCUCGAGUGAAUCAUGGCUAAGGAACUCGGCAAAAUAAUCCUGUAACUUCGGGAGAAGGGAUGCCUCGUUCUAGCAAUAGAAAAGGUCGCAGAGAAAUGGCCCAGGCGACUGUUUAACAAAAACACAUGGCUAUGCGAAAUCGAAAGAUGAAGUAUAUGGCCUGACACCUGCCCGGUGCUGGAAGGUUAAGGGGGGACGUUAGUCGCAAGACAAAGCGUUGAACUGAAGCCCCAGUAAACGGCGGCCGUAACUAUAACGGUCCUAAGGUAGCGAAAUUCCUUGUCGGGUAAGUUCCGACCUGCACGAAUGGUGUAACGAUCUGGGCGCUGUCUCAGCCAUGAGCUCGGUGAAAUUGUAGUCACGGUGAAGAUGCCGUGUACCCGUCACGGGACGGAAAGACCCCAUGAACCUUUACUAUAGCUUCACAUUGGUAUUGGGAGAAUGAUGUGUAGGAUAGGCGGGAGGCAAUGAUCCCGGGCCGCUAGGUUCGGGGGAGUCAACGGUGAAAUACCGCCCUUUAUUUUCUUGAUGCCUAAUCACGCGUAAGUGUGAGACAUUGUGUGGUGGGUAGUUUGACUGGGGUGGUCGCCUCCGAAAGUGUAUCGGAGGCUUUCAAAGGUACCCUCAGUACGGUUGGUAAUCGUACGUGGAGUGCAAUAGCAUAAGGGUGCUUGACUGUGAGACAGACGUGUCGAGCAGGGACGAAAGUUGGAUAUAGUGAUCCGGUGGUUCUGUAUGGAAGGGCCAUCGCUCAAAGGAUAAAAGGUACUCUGGGGAUAACAGGCUGAUCUCCCCCAAGAGCUCAUAUCGACGGGGAGGUUUGGCACCUCGAUGUCGGCUCGUCACAUCCUGGGGCUGGAGAAGGUCCCAAGGGUUAGGCUGUUCGCCUAUUAAAGUGGCACGCGAGCUGGGUUCAGAACGUCGUGAGACAGUUCGGUCCCUAUCUGUGAUGGGCGCAGGAAGUUUGAGAGGCUCUGACCUUAGUACGAGAGGACCGGGUUGGACCAACCGCUGGUGUACCGGUUGUCGUGUCAGCGGCACGGCCGGGUAGCUAUGUUGGGAGAGGAUAAGCGCUGAAAGCAUCUAAGCGCGAACCCCACCUCGAGAUGAGACUUCCUUACAGGGACGUGGGAGACUACCACGUUGAUAGGCUGCAGGUGUAAAGUCAGAGAUGGCAAAGCUGAGCAGUACUAAUGACCCAAACGCUUCAGAGA